rnacentral:rRNA from 1 species
AAUGAACGCUGGCGGCGUGCUUAACACAUGCAAGUCGAGCGAGAAAGUCUCCUUCGGGAGGCGAGUAAAGCGGCGGACGGGUGAGUAACACGUGGAUGACCUGCCUGGAAAUGAGGAAUAACUUGGGGAAACUCGAGCUAAUACCACAUACGCUCUUGUGGCUAUGGCCACAAGAGGAAAGUUGGCCUAUACAUGUAAGCUGACGUUUCAGAGGGUCCGCGCCUGAUUAGCUAGUUGGUGGGGUAAAGGCCUACCAAGGCGACGAUCAGUAGCCGGCCUGAGAGGGCGAUCGGCCACACUGGGACUGAGACACGGCCCAGACUCCUACGGGAGGCAGCAGUGGGAAUAUUGGACAAUGGGGCAACCCUGAUCCAGCAACGCCGCGUGGAGGAUGAAGGCCUUCGGGUCGUAAACUUCUGUCAGUGGGGACGAAAAGCCGUUGGUCAAUAGCCUUCGGUCAUGACGGUACCCGCAGAGGAAGCCCCGGCUAACUCCGUG